AGCACACAACAUAAUCUUGGUCUCAGGUACGUAUGAUCCUCUCAAUCUACGAUAUGGUGUAAAAGCCAUGAUGCUUCGCUGAGGAGAAAUUCUUCUGUUUCCGAGCGAGGAGUGGUGUUGUCUUCCUUGGUUCCCCUCUUUGGACACAGCUUCACUCGGGAUGCGUGAAUCCAGAUGUCAUGGGAAUCUGUGAGGACAGCGGUUCUGGUUACAGCAAUCACAGUAGCAGGUGGUCCAAAAGGGUAUCCUCCUUUCUUGGUCCUGUUCAGCUGACGGAUAUACACCUUGUCACCGGGCUGGUAUGAAUGAGUAGGUUCCUGUGAAGGUAAGGGAAAACUGCGAAGAAACAUUGUCAUACAUACCAUUCGGUUUUAUCAACAAUUCCUGUACAUAUUGUUCUUGUAUAAGCUGUAAAUCCCCCGACAUUAUAACAAGCGGUUCCCUGGCCCAGGGUGUGGGAAAAGGUCGUCCCAUCAAAAUCUCAAAUGGAGAUAAUUUAGUCACCUUGUGAGGAAUCACUCUUAUCUCAGCUAAAAUAGCUGGUAGAUAUCUAGUCCAAUUUACCCAUGUUCCUGGGUAAAUUCUGGGCUUUUCCUUAAUAGUCCUAUUCAUCCUUUCAACUACCCCUGUAUUCUGUGGAUGAUAAGGUAUAUGAAACUGCCAGGUAACUUGCAAGAAUUUAGCAAGUUCCUGGGCAACCUUACUGGCAAAAACCGGGCCAUUAUCAGAGCCAAUCUGCAGAGGGCAGCCAUACCUGGGAAUAAUUUCAGUAACAAUAAUCUUCACUAGCAUCUUCCCUAGAUGUCACAAAGGCCUCAUGCCAUCUACUAAACUGAUUAACUAUGACCAGUAAGUAUUGCUGUUUCUUACCAAUUUUGGAUACAUGAAUAAAAUCAAUCUGUAAGUGUGUAAAAAGAGCAGUGUUCACACGAUCUUACAAAAGACUGUACAUGCUGCCUGAGAUUCCUAAUAUAAAAUGAAUUCAUGAGGAAUUGAAUGGUGCUUGCUAUGUGCCUGACUGAUGAAAAUAAAUCAGCUUGCUUCAAGUAUGCCUAUUCUUCAAGUAUGCCUAUUCUCCCCUCUUUAGAGAACAGAUCAUUUUGAUCUUUCUCUAAACCUUGUUUAAUCCAAAAGACAGAUUCUGGGUAUUUAAAAAAAAAAAAGAAUCUCAUAACCACUGAAGCGCUGGGCUGUCAUGUGUUGUGUGGUGAGAUUUGUCAGCUGAGUGACCUGGUGACUGGCAUGAAGUAUUGUAGGAUGCCCUAGUGUGAUAGUAGUAGCAGUUUCAACAGCCAUUGCACAUGCUAUCAAUGCUCUGAGACACGCCGGCAUACCCUGUACCGGAGCUCGAACUACUUUGGAAAAGAAUGCUAUGGGACGCAUACCGCCUCCUUGCUCUUGUGCACAGACCGCGGCCAUGGUUUUACAAUUGUCCCAAGCAUACAAAUGAAAUGGUUUACAAUACACAGGUAGUCCUAAAGCCUGGGCUUGCACAAUAACAACUGUAAGGGCAAUAUAUGCAGCUAGCAUGUCUGGUGACCAGCAGACAUUUUCAGGGCUGUCAGAACGUACAGCCUCCCUUAGGAUUGAGUUAUAAUGGGAGCAUUCAGGGAUCCAUUGGCGGCAGUAAUUAAUCAUGCCGAGGAAGGUGAGCAACUCCUUCCGAGUAGUGGGUGUAGGAAUCCUCUGAAUGACCUCAAUACGUUUUGGACUCAAUUGUCUGGUGCCUAAAGCCAGAACAAAACCUAAGUAUUCAACCUUUGAUUUACACAAUUGCAUUUUAUGUUUAACAACCUUGUGACCUACAGUUGCUGACAGUAUCCACAGUGCUUGCCUCAUAGCUAGGGCUACAUAACAACAAAUCAUCAACAUUUUGCAAAAAGGACGGAACCAUGACCGGUGGUCCAUGUUUUUUAGAGUAUGUUGGAGUACCAACGAAUAAACAGCUGGGGAAUCCACAUAGCCUUGGGUAAGCGUGUCCAGGUAAACUGACAGCCUUCAAAAAGUAAAAACCAUAAGUAGCUGUGUCUCUUGAUCAAUAGGUAUAGAAAAAAAUGCAUUACUUAAAUCAAUGACAGUGAAGCAAGUGGCAUCAUGUGGAAUGGCUGUAAUGAGGGAUGUCACAUCAGGGACAAUGGGUGAAAUGGGCACAAUUAAACUAUUCAGGGCUCUAAAGUCCUGAACUAAGCGAUAUGCUGGCCAGUGGUGUUGGGAGUGGGUCUGGUGUUGUUCUUGCCUACCGGGCAUAUUUUGAGAAUUGUGGGGUUGUUGGGGUGUGUGGGGUUUCCUGGGGUGUGGACACUCAUUCCUCCAGUGGCCAUAUUGGCCACAGUUGAAACAAGUGUUCCUGUCUAUUCCUCCUUGGUUACCCCUGCCCCUAUAACCCUGAUUUCCCUGUCUCCAUCCCCUUGCCCCUCUUUGACCACCCCUUCCGCGGGCUUUAUGUGCUCCAUCCCAUCCUUGCUCUCAGCCUGUGUAGCUGGACAUAUGUUGCAAUCCCUGAGCAUAAUAAGCAACCUUACUUUCCUAAACCUUUUCUUAAUUCAAAACAACCUGCAUUUUCCUUUUCUAUAACCUUGGUAAGAAAAUCUGAGCUAUCCAAAUUGGCCCAGUCUGAUCAAUUGUUUCACAAGCAAAGAAUACUGUGGCAACAUAUUACCAAGGCAUGACUGUAUUUUAAAGAGAUCUAUAUCAUCUCCAGACAUCAAACCUGCCUCAUCCUUCCAACACUUGUAAAAUUUCUUUACAAAAAUCAUAUUACCAAUCUCUUCCUUUGCAUCUUGCUUAUAUGCCAAAGCAGUGAAUAUAGACUGCUUAUUCUACCAUAAUCCCAACAUUUCAGCUUCCACCUUGUUCCAAAUUUUAGCACAUCUUACUGAAGUACUAAGCUCAUAAUCACCAAUUCAUUUCAAACCAUAUAACUCAUACUCAGCAUCCAAUGUAAUAUUAGUCAUCUCACAAAACAAUAUCUUUGUAGAAACACAUAAUGGGUACCCAGCAGAUAUGCCAAUACAGAAAUCACAUUUAUGGGCACACAACUACACACUCUGUCUCCCUCCUAGGAAACAUGGAUAGACACAAUAUAAAAGCAAUCUUAAACUAACACCUCCAAAUCUCCAACUAUUCUUGGCCAAAACGCUAGUAUUCAACAACUAAUAAAACAGUUAUUUGCUAGGUUAUUUGGCUGUCAUUCUUAUCAGUAUCACUAGACUGUGACAAACUGAUUCACAUAUAAUUUAAAACAAUACAGCAACAUAAAUUAAACCACUUUCAAGUUAAACUGCACACUUCACACAUUAUCACAGUCACCAUUUACACAGAAUAAACAGUUAACAGCUGUAUUCAGAACAUAUUAUUGGAAAGUAUACCAAUUUUAGUUUAGAUUUAUUUUAGGGAUUCUUAUGUGUACAUUUUCUUAAUUAACUUCAUUACUUUAAUCUACUAUAGUAUUAUAUUUAAAGAAAGGAUCCAUUUAUAUAGCGCGCUCAUAACUCAACUAUUUGUAUAAAACUACCAUUAACUAAUCUGAGAUGAUGCUGCAUCAACUUAAAUCUUACAGAAAUUUUUUGCAAACAUCUGGACCAGAUUAAACAGACAUGGUUUCACCUGAAUCUUUCAGAACUCUCAGAGACUUAAAAAAUUUAUACUAUACCAUGUUUUAAAGGCAUGGCAAACCUUUAGACCGGUCAGUCUCCAAGAGCCCUUAGUAACACAGGUAAAAACCUUUUGUCCAUGAUGUCUGAUUCAGGCUAUAUACCACAAUUUAAAAGAACACAUAAUGUGAGACAUAGAAGACACAAGCAGUAGUUAUUACACUGGAUCAUUUAAAAGGAAUCUGUUGCAAUAAAAAGGUUAGUUUACAGUGCAAAAUAAAGCAUGUGUUGGACCGCUGAAAAUGUAAAUGUUGCUCUCUUAUUUUCAAACAAAAAUCAUAUUUACAGUAUGGAUCCUUUGCAACAAACACACAGGGCAGGGAAGAUGUGCUGAUUGGUGUUUCUAUACAAUUAAUCCCAUAUGGGGAAUUAACUUUCAAAUACUAAUGAAGUGACUUUUUGUCUCAGUUAUAAAAUAUACUGAGCUCAUCAUGCAAACAAUGCAACACAUUUACACUAUCCCACUCUCAUAAUAAGUGUAGUGGGCUUAUAGUAUUUUUAAAGCAACAAUCAUUCCAGGCACACAGUUCCCAUGUGAAAUAACUUACAAUAAAACAGAGUAAUAAACUUAUACUUCUAUGCGACAGAAAGAAUAAAGCAAAAAGAUUUAAGUAGGUCUAUCAGGUACAACCUAUGAGUCAUUUCUUUUCUAAUAUACAGUACUGCUAUCUUGCAGAAAGAUAAGUCCUGCGCUCACUCCCAUCACUACUGGGCAGCAGCAAGGACUACAGUACACAUCAGCCCCAAUAUAUGGUAAAAACCAAAGAAAAACAAGUUACCUGCGUUCUCUCCUUA